GCACCCCCACCCCCCCGGCUCCCCCCCGGCCGCCGCGCCCGGUGCCGGUGCGGGGUCCCGGUGCGGGGCCGCCGCCCCCCGCCCGGCCCGCGCCGCUCCCUCCUCAACAGGUGAAAACUGAUGUUGCUAAUAUGCGUAAACUCUCAGCAAUCAUGGUUAUUACUUCACAUAUCUACAGUGCAUGUGGAGUGCUGGUCCAGCAACCCUGGAACGUUAUAUCUGCUCUCUGACUGGCCUGGUUCAAAGCUCUGCCGGAAACCAGACCCAUCUGAUGCGAAUAUUCAUGGCACUGACACUCGCCUCCUUGUGCUUGCAAUCCUUGCUCACUGCGUGGGCUUUGUUAAGGAUGGAGUUUGCCUGUGCAAAUAUUUGCAAAUAUUAAAGGAUCAUCAGUAGGGC